AGGGCUGGAAAAGACAAAACAAUUGUGGUUAGACAAGAAACAGAAGGAUCUCUUAGCCCGUACAGAUGCUGGUGCUCGUUUGGGUUGCAGCACCAGAUGAUGUGGUAAUGUAUUCAUUAUUAAAGCAUCUUAUGAUUAUUAUGCAUAACAAAAUAACAUGAUCAACAAUUCAGGGAACAUGAGGACCUGAAACAGUGAUAAUUCUCAUGAUCUCAUGAUGAUGAAGUGUUUUUUCAUUCAGUGGUGGCAUUGUACAGACUUUGAACCAUUGUUUCGAAAGAAAGUCAUCAAUAGCCAUGAAAACACUGGUGCAGCUACUCAAACAAUCACCAGUAUCAGGCCAGGGAACUUGUAACGCUAGGCUUUUUCAGAAGCUUGGUGCAGCUAUUUUAUCGGAGAACGAAGAUGUGAUGUUGACACCAGCCUCACUUCACCUCGGCCAAGAGACCGAAGCAGCUAUAUGCCCCGGAGCAACAAGGUCUCUGUGCCAGAUAAACACCCCAACCUACUCUAGCGUCUGGCCUGCUUCAAGCCUGACAGGCCAGCAUGGGAGAAAACCCUCUUACUGGAACUCAAUAUUUUCAGACCCUUGAUAUGUACUAGCAACUUUUUGUGUCUUAUCAGAGGGCCUGGAGAAGCAGGCAGCUGAUGAUUGACAGAAUCCACUGAAUGUAAAUGUGAUACACUGGUUUAACUGGGAGUGUGAAUCGGAAAGAUUAACCUUUCCAAGUUUCCUUUAUAAAACUUUGAUUAUAAAUGUAGAAAAUAUUUGUUCAGUUCU